rnacentral:rRNA from 1 species
AUUGAACGCUGGCGGCAGGCUUAACACAUGCAAGUCGAACGGAGUGGCGGACGGGUGAGUAAUGCUUGGGAAUCUGGCUUAUGGAGGGGGAUAACGACGGGAAACUGUCGCUAAUACCGCGUACCAUAGGAUGAGCCCAAGUGGGAUUAGGUAGUUGGUGGGGUAAUGGCCUACCAAGCUGACGAUCUCUAGCUGGUCUGAGAGGAUGACCAGCCACACCGGGACUGAGAGACGGCCCGGACUCCUACGGGAGGCAGCAGUGGGGAAUAUUGGACAAUGGGCGAAAGCCUGAUCCAGCCAUGCCGCGUGUGUGAAGAAGGUCUUCGGAUUGUAAAGCACUUUAAGUUGGGAGGCGUUACCGACAGAAUAAGCACCGGCUAACUCUGUGCCAGCAGCCGCGGUAAUUC